AGAAUCAACGCUGGCGGCGUGCCUAACACAUGCAAGUCGAACGCGAAAGUGGAGCAAUCCAUUAGUAGAGUGGCAAACGGGUGAGUAACACGUGGGCGACCUACCUCAGAGUGGGGGAUAACCUUCCGAAAGGAGGGCUAAUACCGCAUGACAUCCCGUGUUUGGAUACACGGAGAUCAAAGCCGGGGAUCGCAAGACCUGGCGCUUGGAGGACGGGCCCGCGUCCGAUUAGCUAGUUGGUGAGGUAACGGCUCACCAAGGCUCCGAUCGGUA
rnacentral:rRNA from 1 species